AGAACGAACGCUGGCGGCAUGCCUAAUACAUGCAAGUCGAACGAACUCUUCGGAGUUAGUGGCGCACGGGUGCGUAACGCGUGGGAAUCUGCCCCUUGGUUCGGAAUAACAGUUGGAAACGACUGCUAAUACCGGAUGAUGACGAAAGUCCAAAGAUUUAUCGCCAAGGGAUGAGCCCGCGUAGGAUUAGCUAGUUGGUGAGGUAAAGGCUCACCAAGGCAACGAUCCUUAGCUGGUCUGAGAGGAUGAUCAGCCACACUGGGACUG
rnacentral:rRNA from 1 species